CCCAGUUCGGAUUGCAGGCUGCAACCCGCCUGUAUGAAGUUGGAAUCGCUAGUAAUCGCGGAUCAGCAUGCCGCGGUGAAUACGUUCCCGGGCCUUGUACACACCGCCCGUCACACCAUGAGAGUCGGGAACACCCGAAGUCCGUAGCCUAACUUAUCUGAGAGGGCGCGGCCGAAGGUGGGUUCGAUAAUUGGGGUGAAGUCGUAACAAGGUACC
rnacentral:rRNA from 1 species